UCUUUUUGCACGCGAAUAACUCUAAAUCAAAAGAUCGUUCCGAGGGGAAAUUCGGGUACGACACUGGUUUUAUAUUUUCAAUCGAACGAGUGAAAAAAAAAAAAAAUCGUCCAACUCAAACGCGGGCUCAGAGAAUCGAUGCACUUGGCGGCUUAGUGCGCGCGAGUUAAACGGCACUUUGGCCACAACCCCCUCGAGUCAGCGGCGAGGAAACGCGGCGGGAAAUCGUUAGCAGUCAUCCAGACGAGGAUCGUCGAGCAGUCAGCCAGCCAGCCAGGCCCCUUUUUUUUUUUCGCUUGCACUUGAUGGUGUGUACCGUGCCUGUUGUUACGUAUUCUCGUGCCCCUAUUUUCUUCUUCGUGCGCGCUCUUUCGCCGGGAUAAGAGAGGAGGGUGUACACGCCCGACUUAGGGAAGCGUAAACGCCGACGUUGAACGUUCAACGACACGCGGGGAAUCGAGUGAUAAAUGGAACGAACGAACGAACGAGCGAACGUGCAUCGAUGAGCCGUUUCCCCUCCCCCCCCCCCUCUGCCCCCCGUUCGAUUGACGUUGAUUUAUCAUCGUUAUGCCGGUUUCGUUAUUCUGCUUCUUUUUCAGUCGAGCUUAAUUUUUUUUUUUUUUUUUUUUUGUAGAAGAGUUAGUUGUUGGAAGGGAAUAUGAUUGGGGUGAUUGGAUUUUUAACCCUUUCGUUUCUGAAUUUCGUUCAGGCGACGCUGAGAUUGGCUGUAAUUUUUCUUUUUUUUUUAGGGGGAUUUUUUUGUUAGGAGGAUAUUAUUUUUGGAAAAUGUUUAAUGCGUUUGGAUAGUGAGAUAGUGAGGAUCGAGUAUAUUGGUCAAGUAUUUUUGCUACUUAUAAGUAAAGAUUUUUCAAAAAAGAAGAAAUUUAAGGAAGUUAGUUACGAUAUAAUGUGUGAUAUAAAGCUGAGCUGUGAAAAAGGAAAAGUUUAUGAAAUAAACGGUUCGUUAUUUAAAUAUUUCGUUGUUUGGGAAAGGUUGUGAGUAAAGUAAGAUUAUUUAUAAUUCGAGGGUUAGUAGGAGGUUACAUGUACAUUUUAGAUUUGCGGGGAAAAUUUAAGAAAAAAAAAAAAAUAUCGAGAAUUUGCAACAAUGAUGAUUAAUAUUUCCGAGUAAGUAUUAAAAUUUCAAAUGUAAAUUUUAAAUUUUAAGGAACGAGAGGGUUAAAUACGAGAUAUUCACAGGGUAAAUUAGAAAUGAUAAUUCUCUAUCGGCGUUUAAUUUAAUCUAAA